rnacentral:rRNA from 1 species
UACGGGGGGGGGCAAGCGUUGUUCGGAAUUACUGGGCGUAAAGGGCUCGUAGGUGGCCAACUAAGUCAGACGUGAAAUCCCUCGGCUUAACCGGGGGAACUGCGUCUGAUACUGGAUGGCUUGAGUUCGGGAGAGGGAUGCGGAAUUCCAGGUGUAGCGGUGAAAUGCGUAGAUAUCUGGAGGAACACCGGUGGCGAAGGCGGCAUCCUGGACCGACACUGACACUGAGGAACGAAAGCCAGGGGAGCAAACGGG